UGGGGAAUAUUGGACAAUGGGCGAAAGCCUGAUCCAGCCAUGCCGCGUGUGUGAAGAAGGCCUUUUGGUUGUAAAGCACUUUAAGUGGGGAGGAAAAGCUUAUGGUUAAUACCCAUAAGCCCUGACGUUACCCACAGAAUAAGCACCGGCUAACUCUGUGCCAGCAGCCGCGGUAAUACAGAGGGUGCAAGCGUUAAUCGGAAUUACUGGGCGUAAAGCGCGCGUAGGUGGUUAUUUAAGUCAGAUGUGAAAGCCCCGGGCUUAACCUGGGAACUGCAUCUGAUACUGGAUAACUAGAGUAGGUGAGAGGGGGGUAGAAUUCCACGUGUAGCGGUGAAAUGCGUAGAGAUGUGGAGGAAUACCGAAGGCGAAGGCAGCCCCUUGGGAAUGUACUGACGCUCAUGUGCGAAAGCGUGGGGAGCAAACAGGAUUAGAUACCCUGGUAGUCCACGCUGUAAACGCUGUCGAUUUGGGGGUUGGGGUUUAACUCUGGCGCCCGUAGCUAACGUGAUAAAUCGACCGCCUGGGGAGUACGGCCGCAAGGUUA
rnacentral:rRNA from 1 species